rnacentral:rRNA from 1 species
GACGAACGCUGGCGGCGUGCUUAACACAUGCAAGUCGAACGGUAAGGCCCUUCGGGGUACACGAGUGGCGAACGGGUGAGUAACACGUGGGUGAUCUGCCCUGCACUUCGGGAUAAGCCUGGGAAACUGGGUCUAAUACCGGAUAGGACUCCGGACUGCAUGGUCUGGGGUGGAAAGCUUUUGCGGUGUGGGAUGGGCCCGCGGCCUAUCAGCUUGUUGGGGGGGUGAGGGCCUACCAAGGCGACGACGGGUAGCCGGCCUGAGAGGGUGACCGGCCACACUGGGACUGAGAUACGGCCCAGAUUCCUACGGGAGGCAGCAGUGGGGAAUAUUGCACAAUGGGCGCAAGCCUGAUGCAGCGACGCCGCGUGAGGGAUGACGGCCUUCGGGUUGUAAACCUCUUUCAGCAUCGACGAAGCGAAAGUGACGGUAGGUGCAGAAGAAGGACCGGCCAACUACGUGCCAGCCGCCGCAGUAA